CGGGCUAUAGCGCAGCUUGGUAGCGCGCCUGCUUUGGGAGCAGAAUGUCGCCGGUUCAAAUCCGGCUAGCCCGA
rnacentral:tRNA from 1 species